ACAAGCUUGCAACCAUAGCAGAAGUGUUCACAAUGCAGCCCUGUCAGAUUUCAAAUGAAUCUGUGAAUUCUGCU
rnacentral:ribozyme from 1 species